GAAAUUGAACUCGCUGUGAAGAUGCAGUGUACCCGCGGCAAGACGGAAAGACCCCGUGAACCUUUACUAUAGCUUGACACUGAACAUUGAGCCUUGAUGUGUAGGAUAGGUGGGAGGCUUUGAAGUGUGGACGCCAGUCUGCAUGGAGCCGACCUUGAAAUACCACCCUUUAAUGUUUGAUGUUCUAACGUGGACCCGUGAUCCGGGUUGCGGACAGUGUCUGGUGGGUAGUUUGACUGGGGCGGUCUCCUCCUAAAGAGUAACGGAGGAGCACGAAGGUUGGCUAAUCCUGGUCGGACAUCAGGAGGUUAGUGCAAUGGCAUAAGCCAGCUUGACUGCGAGCGUGACGGCGCGAGCAGGUGCGAAAGCAGGUCAUAGUGAUCCGGUGGUUCUGAAUGGAAGGGCCAUCGCUCAACGGAUAAAAGGUACUCCGGGGAUAACAGGCUGAUACCGCCCAAGAGUUCAUAUCGACGGCGGUGUUUGGCACCUCGAUGUCGGCUCAUCACAUCCUGGGGCUGAAGUAGGUCCCAAGGGUAUGGCUGUUCGCCAUUUAAAGUGGUACGCGAGCUGGGUUUAGAACGUCGUGAGACAGUUCGGUCCCUAUCUGCCGUGGGCGCUGGAGAACUGAGGGGGGCUGCUCCUAGUACGAGAGGACCGGAGUGGACGCAUCACUGGUGUUCGGGUUGUCAUGCCAAUGGCACUGCCCGGUAGCUAAAUGCGGAAGAGAUAAGUGCUGAAAGCAUCUAAGCACGAAACUUGCCCCGAGAUGAGUUCUCCCUGACCCUUUAAGGGUCCUGAAGGAACGUUGAAGACGACGACGUUGAUAGGCCGGGUGUGUAAGCGCAGCGAUGCGUUGAGCUAACCGGUACUAAUGAACCGUGAGGCUUAACCUU
rnacentral:rRNA from 1 species